ACAUAUAUAUUUUAUUUUUUUUUCUAAAUCGCCCUCUUUUUCCACAAUUUCAUUUCCAGACCAUUAUAACCGCGUGCAAUGCGGUUGGUAGAGUCAGUGUUUGAUUCGUAAUAGUAUUUUUUUGUUUUUUUAGAGCACAAUAGCUCUAAGCAAAUUUAAUUACAAUAAUUAUACGUGAAAUUAGAGUCAGUGCUUGUUCGUCGAUUGAAUAGUAUAAAUAACGGAUGCGUUAAUAAUUUCUUAUUUUUAUUUUUUUAUUUUAAAUUUUCGUUUUCGGUAUAAAGUAGAAUCAGUGCUUCUUUCAAGAGACUAAGAUAAUCAUCCAUCACGCGAAGAGUUUUCACUUCCUCAAUUUCCAUGGAUCAGCAUCAAUGGCAAUGCAGAUUCUUCGCAUCAAUGAGUGAGUCGCAUGCUUUUUGAUUCCUCUGGUCACUCAAUCAUGUCGUAGGAUGAAAGGUCCAAAUCGACACGAGUGAUUGGUUGUAUACGUAGAUUUUUUUCACGAGCACAAUGACCACGGGUAUUUAUUAUACCCGUGAAUAGUAACAUUUCUUUUUUCCAUUGUUUUAUUUAUUAGUUUAGGCUAGGUCUUCUUGUACAUCGCGUUUUAAAUAUUAAUAUUCUUCCAAAUUAAUUAUAUAAAUUUAAAUCAACUAUAACAUUUAUUUAAUAGAUAUUUGCAAAUCAAAUCAAAUAACUAAAUAUAUGAAUAUUUAUUAAAUGUAAUACAUGAUGACAAUUAUUUUUAA